GAAAAGAUGGUACAUGGGGACCUAAAUUUCCUGAGUGUUUUAAGACCAGUGGUCAAAACGCGGACAAAUUGGCCGGACAACCAGAAAACAUAGCGGCAAUAUCAGCAGGUGCUGGCACAGCGGCGGUUGUUGUAAUCCUGGUUGUUGUAGUGCUUGGCCUAGUAUAUUGGAGACGAAGAGGCAAAGAGAAAAAUGAUUCUUCACAAGACCAUAAAAAUCAGCCAUCUUCUUCCCAUCGACUAAGCAACGAUUACAAUGACAUUCAAGAUGUUUCUGAGACUGGUUUUUCCUCAGCAGUCGUUUC